AUGAACGCUAGCUACAGGCUUAACACAUGCAAGUCGAGGGGCAGCAUGGUCUUAGCUUGCUAAGGCCGAUGGCGACCGGCGCACGGGUGAGUAACACGUAUCCAACCUGCCGUCUACUCUUGGACAGCCUUCUGAAAGGAAGAUUAAUACAAGAUGGCAUCAUGAGUCCGCAUGUUCACAUGAUUAAAGGUAUUCCGGUAGACGAUGGGGAUGCGUUCCAUUAGAUAGUAGGCGGGGUAACGGCCCACCUAGUCUUCGAUGGAUAGGGGUUCUGAGAGGAAGGUCCCCCACAUUGGAACUGAGACACGGUCCAAACUCCUACGGGAGGCAGCAGUGAGGAAUAUUGGUCAAUGGGCGAGAGCCUGAACCAGCCAAGUAGCGUGAAGGAUGACUGCCCUAUGGGUUGUAAACUUCUUUUAUAAAGGAAUAAAGUCGGGUAUGCAUACCCGUUUGCAUGUACUUUAUGAAUAAGGAUCGGCUAACUCCGUGCCAGCAGCCGCGGUAAUACGGAGGAUCCGAGCGUUAUCCGGAUUUAUUGGGUUUAAAGGGAGCGUAGAUGGAUGUUUAAGUCAGUUGUGAAAGUUUGCGGCUCAACCGUAAAAUUGCAGUUGAUACUGGAUAUCUUGAGUGCAGUUGAGGCAGGCGGAAUUCGUGGUGUAGCGGUGAAAUGCUUAGAUAUCACGAAGAACUCCGAUUGCGAAGGCAGCCUGCUAAGCUGCAACUGACAUUGAGGCUCGAAAGUGUGGGUAUCAAACAGGAUUAGAUACCCUGGUAGUCCACACGGUAAACGAUGAAUACUCGCUGUUUGCGAUAUACGGCAAGCGGCCAAGCGAAAGCGUUAAGUAUUCCACCUGGGGAGUACGCCGGCAACGGUGAAACUCAAAGGAAUUGACGGGGGCCCGCACAAGCGGAGGAACAUGUGGUUUAAUUCGAUGAUACGCGAGGAACCUUACCCGGGCUUAAAUUGCAGAUGAAUUACGGUGAAAGCCGUAAGCCGCAAGGCAUCUGUGAAGGUGCUGCAUGGUUGUCGUCAGCUCGUGCCGUGAGGUGUCGGCUUAAGUGCCAUAACGAGCGCAACCCUUGUUGUCAGUUACUAACAGGUUCCGCUGAGGACUCUGACAAGACUGCCAUCGUAAGAUGUGAGGAAGGUGGGGAUGACGUCAAAUCAGCACGGCCCUUACGUCCGGGGCUACACACGUGUUACAAUGGGGGGUACAGAGGGCCGCUACCACGCGAGUGGAUGCCAAUCCCAAAAACCUCUCUCAGUUCGGACUGGAGUCUGCAACCCGACUCCACGAAGCUGGAUUCGCUAGUAAUCGCGCAUCAGCCACGGCGCGGUGAAUACGUUCCCGGGCCUUGUACACACCGCCCGUCAAGCCAUGGGAGCCGGGGGUACCUGAAGUGCGUAACCGCGAGGAGCGCCCUAGGGUAAAACUGGUGACUGGG
rnacentral:rRNA from 1 species